rnacentral:rRNA from 1 species
GGGUCAGUAGGUUGGUCGUGCCACCGGUACGUACUGGUCCCACUUAUUCCUCCUUCCUGAAGAACCGUAAUGCCAUUAAUUUGGUGUUGCGGGGAAACAGGACUGUUACUUUGAAAAAAUUAGAGUGUUUAAAGCAAGCUAACGCUUGAAUACAUUAGCAUGGAAUAAUGAAAUAGGACGAUCGAUCCUAUUUUGUUGGUUUCUAGGAUUGACGUA